UGCUUUUAAAUUUUGUUAUCACAUAUAUGCUAUAUAAUUUCUUGUCUGUUUUUCUUUUUCCUUCUUUUAUGGUAUCAUUUCUUGUUAGUAUAUUUUUUCUGAAUUAUAUGAUCUUAUAGCCAUUUGACAGCAAAUCAGCAUCAUUUUUUUCUUCGAUUUUAGUUUGUUUGGUUAAUGAUUGUUCUGUUAGUAAUAGCAGUUCGUGAGGUUUGCAAUAAGUAAUCGGAUCGUCUUUGUGAGAAUUAGGAAUUUGUUUCUUCCAUGCUUCGGCCUGAAAUUUGGCAUUAUCUGGAGUUUUCUUUUUUAAGCUUCUACCUUUGUUUUAAGCUCCCUCAGAGCUUCUCCAGUUGUACUUCUGGUUGUAGAUUCGCUGUUCAAAAUAGAUGCCUUUCUUGAUCAGA